rnacentral:misc_RNA from 1 species
GGGGCCACGCCGUUAAACCCCCCACUUCUGAAAGUUUGACCUCGGAUCAGGUAGGAAUACCCGCUGAACUUAAGCAUAUCCAUAAGCGGAGGAAAAGAAACCAACAGGGAUUGCCCUAGUAACGGCGAGUGAAGCGGCAACAGCUCAAAUUUGAAAUCUGGCCUCCGGGUCCGAGUUGUAAUUUGUAGAGGAUGCUUUUGGUGCGGUACCUUCCGAGUUCCCUGGAACGGGACGCCAUAGAGGGUGAGAGCCCCGUCUGGUUGGACGCCAAUCCUUUGUAAAGCUCCUUCAACGAGUCGAGUAGUUUGGGAAUGCUGCUCUAAAUGGGAGGUAUAUGUCUUCUAAAGCUAAAUAUUGGCCAGAGACCGAUAGCGCACAAGUAGAGUGAUCGAAAGAUGAAAAGCACUUUGAAAAGAGAGUUAAAAAGUACGUGAAAUUGUUGAAAGGGAAGCGCUCAUGACCAGACUUGGGCUUGGUUGAUCAUCCAGGGUUCUCCCUGGUGCACUCUUCCAGCCCAGGCCAGCAUCAGUUCGCUGUGGGGGAUAAAGGCUUCGGGAAUGUGGCUCCCUCGGGAGUGUUAUAGCCCGUUGUGUAAUACCCUGUGGUGGACUGAGGUUCGCGCAUUCGCAAGGAUGCUGGCGUAAUGGUCAUCAGCGACCCGUCUUGAAACACGGACCAAGGAGUCGUCUUCGUAUGCGAGUGUUCGGGUGUCAAACCCCUACGCGUAAUGAAAGUGAACGCAGGUGAGAGCUUCGGCGCAUCAUCGACCGAUCCUGAUGUUCUCGGAUGGAUUUGAGUAAGAGCAUACGGGGCCGGACCCGAAAGAAGGUGAACUAUGCCUGUAUAGGGUGAAGCCAGAGGAAACUCUGGUGGAGGCUCGCAGCGGUUCUGACGUGCAAAUCGAUCGUCAAAUAUGGGCAUGGGGGCGAAAGACUAAUC